AUGGUUGGACAGGUGAUCGGGAACAAGUGGGACCACUACCUCGAUCUUCUCCAGGCCGACUACACUGAGGGGGAUGCUCUGGAUGCCUUGGGCUUGGUUCGCUACUGCUGCCGCCGUAUGCUCAUGACCCAUGUUGACCUCAUUGAGAAGUUGCUCAACUACAACACCCUGGAGAAGACGGAGACAAGUUGA
rnacentral:rRNA from 1 species